rnacentral:lncRNA from 1 species
AGAGAUUCUAGUCCUUGGCUUUGUAGACCAUUUAUAAAAUGGAUGGCUCUGUGGUUGACCAAACCGCAGAUGAGUUCCUUAGGGACCAACGUGGAAUGUGUUAGCUCCUGUUUGUUAAAAUGCUGCUAAUGAGAUCAACAUCAUGAAGUUAAUUUCUAUAACCCUAUUCCAUAGCUGCAAACUACGAAGACAUCUUGAAAACAUGAAACGAUCAGAAGAGAGGUCAGAUAAUCGCAGAAAAGCGAUUCAGCAGAGAAGGAAGUGCUUGGUCUUGAUCUGA